AAUGGGGAAUUUCUGGUGUAGCGGUGAAAUGCGUAGAGAUCAGAAGGAACACCAAUGGCGAAGGCAACAUUCUGGACCAAUACUGACACUGAGGGACGAAAGCGUGGGGAUCAAACAGGAUUAGAUACCCUGGUAGUCCACGCUGUAAACGAUGAGUACUAGCUGUUGGAUUCGGUGUAAAGGAUCUAGUGGCGUAGCUAACGCGUUAAGUACUCCGCCUGGGGACUACGGCCGCAAGGCUAAAACUCAAAGGAAUUGACGGGGACCCGCACAAGCGGUGGAGCAUGUGGUUUAAUUCGAUGCAACGCGAAGAACCUUACCUGGUCUUGACAUCCUGCGAACUUUCUAGAGAUAGAUUGGUGCCUUCGGGAACGCAGUGACAGGUGCUGCACGGCUGUCGUCAGCUCGUGUUGUGAAAUGUUGGGUUAAGUCCCGCAACGAGCGCAACCCCUAUUGAUAGUUACCAUCAUUAAGUUGGGUACUCUAUUGAGACUGCCGCUGACAAGGCGGAGGAAGGUGGGGACGACGUCAAGUCAUCAUGGCCCUUACGACCAGGGCUACACACGUGCUACAAUGGGUAUUACAGAGGGCAGCGAAGUAGCGAUAUGGAGCGAAACUCAGAAAGGUACUCUUAGUCCGGAUUGCAGUCUGCAACUCGACUGCAUGAAGUCGGAAUCGCUAGUAAUCGCAGGUCAGAAUACUGCGGUGAAUACGUUUCCCGGGUCUUGUACACACCGCCCGUCACACCAUGGGAGUGGGUUGC
rnacentral:rRNA from 1 species